UACGAAGGGUGCAAGCGUUAAUCGGAAUUACUGGGCGUAAAGCGCACGUAGGCGGCUUGGUAAGUUAGAGGUGAAAGCCUGGAGCUCAACUCCAGAAUUGCCUUUAAGACUGCCGAGCUAGCAGGUGAGAGAGGUGAGUGGAAUUCCGAGUGUAGAGGUGAAAUUCGUAGAUAUUCGGAAGAACACCAGUGGCGAAGGCGGCUCACUGGCUCAUACUGGACGCUGAGGUGCGAAAGCGUGGGGAGCGAACAGG
rnacentral:rRNA from 1 species